rnacentral:rRNA from 1 species
AAACUAACAAGGAUUCCCCUAGUAACUGCGAGUGAAGCGGGAAAAGCUCAAAUUUAAAAUCUGGCAGCUUUGGCUGUCCGAGUUGUAAUCUGGAGAAGCGUCUUCCGCGCUGGACCGUGUACAAGUCUCCUGGAACGGAGCGUCAUAGAGGGUGAGAAUCCCGUCUUUGACAUGGACUACCAGUGCUUUGUGAUGCGCUCUCAAAGAGUCGAGUUGUUUGGGAAUGCAGCUCAAAAUGGGUGGUGAACUCCAUCUAAAGCUAAAUAUUGGCGAGAGACCGAUAGCGAACAAGUACCGUGAGGGAAAGAUGAAAAGCACUUUGGAAAGAGAGUUAAACAGUACGUGAAAUUGCUGAAAGGGAAACGCUUGAAGUCAGUCGCGUUUGCUAGGACUCAGCCUUGCCUCGGCAUGGUGCACUUCCUAGUAAACGGGCCAGCAUCACUUUUGGCUGCGGGAAAAGGAUCAGAGGAAUGUGGCACCUUCGGGUGUGUUAUAGCCUCUGGUUGUAUACCGUGGCUGGGAGUGAGGAUCUCAGCACGCCUUACGGCGGGGCUUCGGCCACCUUCGUGCUUAGGAUGCUGGCGUAAUGGCUUUAAACGACC